AAGUGCCGAGCAUGGGAGACACACGGCGGGUGCUAACGUCCGUCGUGAAAAGGGAAACAACCCAGACCGUCAGCUAAGGUCCCAAAGUCAUGGUUAAGUGGGAAACGAUGUGGGAAGGCUUAGACAGCUAGGAGGUUGGCUUAGAAGCAGCCACCCUUUAAAGAAAGCGUAAUAGCUCACUAGUCGAGUCGGCCUGCGCGGAAGAUGUAACGGGGCUCAAACCAUGCACCGAAGCUACGGGUAUCAUCUUAUGAUGAUGCGGUAGAGGAGCGUUCUGUAAGCCUGUGAAGGUGAGUUGAGAAGCUUGCUGG
rnacentral:rRNA from 1 species